GUACUGGGGCGAACGUUAUUCGGAAUCACUGGGCUUAAAGGGUGCGUAGGCGGGCUUCUCAGGUCUGGGUGUGAAAUCUUUCGGCUCAACCGGAAAAUUGCGCUGGAAACCGGGAGGCUUGAGUGAGCUAGGGGUGUGUGGAACUUCCAGUGGAGCGGUGAAAUGUGUUGAUAUUGGAAGGAACGCCGGUGGCGAAAGCGACACACUGGGGCUCAACUGACGCUGAGGCACGAAAGCUAGGGUAGCGAACGGGAUUAGAUACCCCGGUAGUCCUAGCUGUAAACGCUGAGUACUAGUUGGGAGAGGCUUCGGCCCCUCCGGACGCAGAGAAAUCACUAAGUACUCCGCCUGGGGAGUAUGGUCGCAAAGGCUG
rnacentral:rRNA from 1 species